GAAGAAAGUGAAGACCGAAGGA
rnacentral:miRNA from 1 species